rnacentral:rRNA from 1 species
CCCCUAGACGUUCUGGGCCGCACGCGCGCUACAAUAAUACGCACAGCGAGUAUCACCGAGCUCGAAAGGGCAAGGUAAACAAUAGAAAAGGUACUGUAAUGGUUAUAGAUCCUUGUAAUUAUUGAUCUUCAACGAGGAAUUCCUAGUAAGUAUGUGUCAUCAUCACGCACUGAUUACGUCCCUGCCCUUUGUACACACCGCCCGUCGCUCCUACCGAUUGAGUGAGCCGAUGAAACUGCCGGAUGUGGACUAUUCAUAGUCUGCAGAAGAUAUUUGAAUCGUAGCGCUUAGAGGAAGGAGAAGUCGUAACA